rnacentral:rRNA from 1 species
AUUUCCUACGGGGGGCAGCAGGGAAUCUUCCACAAUGGGCGAAAGCCUGAUGGAGCAACGCCGCGUGGGUGAAGAAGGUCUUCGGAUCGUAAAACCCUGUUGUUAGAGAAGAAAGUGCGUGAGAGUAACUGUUCACGUUUCAACGGUAUUUAACCAGAAAGCCACGGCUAACUACGUGCCAGCAGCCGCGGUAAUACGUUGGUGGCAAGCGUUAUCCGGAUUUAUUGGGAGUAAAGGGAACGCAGGCGGUCUUUUAAGUCUGAUGUGAAAGCCUUUGGCUUAACCGG